rnacentral:rRNA from 1 species
UGAGGAAUAUUGCGCAAUGGGGGCAACCCUGACGCAGCAAUGCCGCGUGAAGGACGAAGGUUUUCGGAUUGUAAACUUCUUUUCUUGAGGACGAUAAUGACGGUACUCGAGGAAUAAGCCACGGCUAACUACGUGCCAGCAGCCGCGGUAAUACGUAGGUGGCAAGCGUUGUCCGGAUUUACUGGGUGUAAAGGGCGAGUAGGCGGGUCUGCAAGUCAGAUGUGAAAUGCAGGGGCUCAACCCCUGAGCUGCAUUUGAAACUGUAGAUCUUGAGUGAUGGAGAGGCAGGCGGAAUUCCCGGUGUAGCGGUGGAAUGCGUAGAUAUCGGGAGGAACACCAGUGGCGAAGGCGGCCUGCUGGACAUUAACUGACGCUGAGGAGCGAAAGCGUGGGGAGCAAACAGG